GGAAGGUCGGCGCGGGCGGUAGCUUCGCCAAUCCGGUCAGGGCCGAGAGGCAGCAGCCGUAACGAAUUUGCUCCGGGUCGCGUCCGGCCUUCCACC
rnacentral:SRP_RNA from 1 species